CCUACGGGUGGCAGCAGUAGGGUAUCUUUCACAAUGGGCGAAAGCCUGAUGGAGCAACGCCGCGUGCAGGAUGAAGGCCUUCGGGUUGUAAACUGCUUUUAUAAGCGAGAAAUAUGAUGGUAACUUAUGAAUAAGGAUCGGCUAACUACGUGCCAGCAGCCGCGGUCAUACGUAGGAUCCGAGCAUUAUCCGGAGUGACUGGGUGUAAAGAGUUGCGUAGGUGGCAUAAUAGGUAGCUAGUGAAAUCUGGUGGCUCAACCAUUCAGACUAUUAGCUAAACUGUUAAGCUCGAGACCGUUAGGGGUAACUGGAAUUUCUAGUGUAGGAGUGAAAUCCGUAGAUAUUAGAAGGAACACCAAUAGCGUAGGCAGGUUGCUGGGACGGUUCUGACACUAAGGCACGAAAGCGUAGGGAGCAAACGGGAUUAGAUACCCGUGUAGUC
rnacentral:rRNA from 1 species